rnacentral:lncRNA from 1 species
GGGUUAGUAUAUGUUAGAAUACAAUGAAUUUGAUUGAUUACAAGUGCUAGAGAUGCAUGAAGAGUGUUUAGAAGUGUGGAGAAAGACUUGUUGAAAUUGGGUCCCAAAUGGGCUAAGAACUCGGAAACAUUGCGUAUAACCACAACAUGACUUAUAUAGUGUUGUUUGGGGUUAGAAUAUGUUAGAAUGCAAUGAAUUUGAUUGAUUACAAGUGCUAGAGAUGCAUGAAGAGUGUUUAGAUGUGUGGAGAAACACUUGUUGAAAUUUGGUCCCAAAUGGGCUAAGAAUCCAUAAACAUGUCUUUGGAGAAGAAAAUGGGUUGUCUAGUGUUGUUUGGAGUUAGAAUAUGUUAGAAUACAAUAAAUUGGAAUGAUUACAAGUUUUAGAGAUGCAUGAAAAGUGUUUAGAAGUGUGGAGAAAGACUUGUUGAAAUUGGGUCCCAUAUGGGUUUAGAACUCGGAAACAUUGCGUUGAACCACUAAAUGGCUAGUCUAGUGUUGUUUGGGGUUAGAAAAUGUUAGAAUACAAUAAUUUUGAUUGAUUACAAGUGCUAGAG